AGAGUUUGAUCCUGGCUCAGAACGAACGCUGGCGGCGUGCCUGAGACAUGCAAGUCGUGGGAGAAAGUCGGGGCAACCCGGCGAGUAAACCGGCGCACGGGUGAGUAACACGUGGAUAACCUGCCCUGGAGACUGGGAUAACCCGUCGAAAGACGGACUAAUACCAGAUAAGACCACGGACAGUUCGCUGUCCGAGGUAAAAGGUGGCCUCUGCUCCUGCAAGCUACUACUCCGGGAGGGGUCCGCGGCCUAUCAGCUAGUUGGCGGGGUAAUGGCCCACCAAGGCAAAGACGGGUAGCUGGUCUGAGAGGAUGGUCAGCCACACUGGGACUGAGACACGGCCCAGAGUCCUACGGGAUGCAGCAGUCAGGAAUAUUGCGCAAUGGAGGAAACUCUGACGCAGCGACGCCGCGUGGGUGAUGAAGGCCUUCGGGUCGUAAAGCCCUGUCGGAGGG
rnacentral:rRNA from 1 species